CCAGUUGUCACGCCAGUGGCACGGCUGGAUAGCCACGCUAGGAAAAGGUAACCACUGAAAGCAUCUAAGUGGGAAACUUGUUUCAAGAUGAGGUUGCUCUCUCUUCGGAGGUAAGAUCUCCCGUAGACUACGGGUUUGAUAGGCGCCAUGUGAAAGUCCCGUAAGGGAUUGAGCAAAGGUGUACUAAUAGAUCGAGAGGAUUU
rnacentral:rRNA from 1 species